AACACGCCUCGGUGGGAAAGAAACAUAUGACGAGUGGCGUCGGGUCUUACGGUUGUCGGUAUGACGGGUCUGCCUCACCGCGCGCGAUUUUCUCCGGUGGAAUGUACAGUCGUGCCGCCUGUGAGGGUACUUAAGGGUACAGCUGAUGCCCGGAGGGAAUAAAGGGAGGUAACCAAACUAGAUGAGCCAGAUACAUUCAGCCUAUAAUGUCAACACAUGAUCUGCAGCAGUCAAGUUGUCAAAGCGGAGUGAAAGCCAGCGUGACUUGCGUUGUCUCAGAUCAGGAGGGAUUGUACACACAAACUGAUAAAUCACGUUUUCAGAAUAUAAGUGAACAUGAGAAGAAACAUCCUGGACCAUUGGCUCAACACAUCCUCAACAAGAAAGAUUUAGAAACUAGAGCUACUGCUUCUUCACCACCAUCAUUGCAGUUAACAGGCCAGCAGAAAAGCAGCAGAGAUUUGCAGAUCAGGCAAAUAAUACUUCUCAGAUCUAAGGAAGAC